rnacentral:rRNA from 1 species
AUGAAGUAUGGUGCUCUGAGAUUGUCGAUGCCACAUGUCACUCAUCCGAUAGGGUCUCACAAGUUGGUCUAUGAGGCCCGGUCUCAUACAAUUUUUUCCCACAACGACGGCCGCUACGUGGUCCACGGCCUCCACGGCUUCCUGCGCCCGCUCACGCACUCCUGCUUCGACGGCCCGCACCACCACCACCUCACCGGCCGCUCCGCCGCAGCCUCCGCGGCCACCGCCACCUCCGUGGUGCGCAUCAUGAUCCGCGACGCCAUGGCGCGACUCCGCGACGGGGGCUACGGGUUCAUGGCGCUGGCCAUGCGCGUCAAGUCAAGGUUUUGGUUACCGAAUGAGGCAUUUUUACCGAGGUUCGCCGAGCUCGAGAAGUUCGCCAACCUGACGCUCUACGCGCUCGACGACCCGGCCAUCUUCGUCGGCGGAGGCCACGACUACGUCUCGGCGGUGCGCUUCCACAUCGUCCCCAACCACCGCCUCACGCGCGCCGACCUCCACCGCCUCCGCCCCGGCACGGUCCUCCCCACGCUGGCCGGCGAGGGCCAGAGCCUCGUCGUCACCCACUACGCCAACGAUGACGUCCGCAUCAACUACAUACCCAUAAAGGAGCCCGACGUGGUGGUCAACUCGCGCAUCGCCGUCCACGGCGUCUACGUGCCGUUCCCCCGCCUCCACCUCGCCGACCUCGCCGCCGACCAGACGAACGGCACCUGCGGCGUCGGGGGGCCCUUCGGCGACUGCGCCUCCUCAGCGAUCACCUCUCCCGGCGAGUGA